rnacentral:lncRNA from 1 species
AUGCCUGAAGGGGCAGGUGCAAUGCUGACACCCCCCCCCCCGAGCCAGGGCCAAAGCUGGGGUGAGCUGGGCGCCCCCAGGGAGGGACAGCAGCGAGGAGGACCAAGGCCAGACUCUCAGGGGGCCUUGCCCUCGCCCCAGGCCGCACUCACCUUCUUGGGGGACCUCCAAGGACAAAAUUCUGGUUCAGGGAGCAGGACCCCGGGGCUGAAGAGCAGAAGGUCGGGGGCCGAGGGCAGGGCGGGUCCGGAGGCUGGGGUCAGAGAGAGAUGGGGAGGCUGGAGCAGCCAGCCAGGCAGGGAGGGGAGGGGCCCGAGAAAGGCAGGGACCCUGUGCCCCUUGGUCGCCGAGGGGUGUGGCAGCCCGGGGGGGGCACAGGUUCCAGGCACCCCUGGUUCCCGGAGAGGGGGAGAAGCUGAGAGCCACGUCCCAGGCGCUCGUGGGGUCUGGGGCUCCUGUGUUCUCAGAAGGAACAGCAUCUGGGCUCAUGCAUCUUGGGGGGGGGCAGGGAGACAGGAAGCAGGGCCCCCCGGGGGCUGCUGGGCCGCUGGGCCAGUGGGAAGGGGCGGAGUGGGCUCUCUGUGUGUCCCGGCCGCCAUCCCCUCCCUCCCAGGGCCCACACUCACUCGGGUCCUGAUUCCGUCGGCGGAUCCGCAGCUGCAGGACUGUGGCGGGAGGGGGGAGGAGGAAGGCGGGAAGGGAGUGUCCGGGAGCCUGGCCUGGAGUUGUUGGCGGGACACUGGUGCCCGGCCCCCUCGCGCACACCCUGCGGGCGGGUGGGCGGGCCUCCCCAGAGCUCCCUGCCAGCACGGAGCCGCGGUGGGGCCAGGCGCCAGCCCGCGAGCGUGCACGCAGCAGGCAGCCCUGCCCCCAGCUCCACCUGCCCCCCUCAUGCCCGUGCCCACCCCGCCCCGCCACGAUCGCCAUCUUGGCGGACCGGCCCUUCCGAACCUCACCUCCCGGUGUCCGUGUGCCCGGCGUGGCACACACCUGCUCCCCUCCCACAGUCAGCCCCUUCUGCACACUCACCCUUCACACGCGCAUCUCCUGGACUCUGCGUUUGCACACGUGCUACUUUUACACAGUUGCACCCUUUCCCACACUCGUCACCCUUGGCUCGCUCUGCCUUGGGACCCACCCAGCAUCGACACUCGGCCCUCUGCUCUAGCCUGCACAUGUGCCUUUUUUGCACACUCGCUCGGUUUCCAGCGUCUGCACCCACCCAACCAUAUAUGCAAGCACUCAUUUGCACACUCAGGGCUCCUUCGCCUGCCCAGGAAUUGA